UCAGGGCUCCUCAGUUCACUUUCUCACAAUGAGGCUCCCUGCUCAGCUCCUGGGGCUGCUGAUGCUCUGGGUCCCUGGAUCCGGUGGGGAUAUUGUGAUGACCCAGACUCCACUCUCCCUGCCAGUCACCCCUGGAGAGCCGGCCUCCAUCUCCUGCAGGUCUAGUCAGAGCCUCCUGCAUACUGAUGGAUAUACCUAUUUGGAUUGGUACCUGCAGAAGCCAGGCCAGUCUCCGCAGCUCCUGAUUUAUGGGGGUUCCAACAGAGCCUCUGGAGUCCCAGACAGGUUCAGUGGCAGUGGGUCAGGCACUGAUUUCACACUGAAAAUCAGCAAGGUGGAGGCGGAGGAUGUUGGGGUUUAUUACUGCAUGCAACAUAAAGCGCUUCCUCCCACGGUGGUACAGACCAAUACAGAAACCUCCCUGCUGGGGUGUCCCAGCUGCUCACUUGUCUGGGGAGUAGCUCAGCAGGGUCUCUGAGUCUGCAGAAGCGGA